rnacentral:rRNA from 1 species
UACGUAGGGGGCAAGCGUUGUCCGGAUUUAUUGGGCGUAAAGAGCUUGUAGGCGGUUUGUCGCGUCUGCUGUGAAAAUCCGGGGCUCAACCCCGGACUUGCAGUGGGUACGGGCAGACUAGAGUGUGGUAGGGGAGACUGGAAUUCCUGGUGUAGCGGUGGAAUGCGCAGAUAUCAGGAGGAACACCGAUGGCGAAGGCAGGUCUCUGGGUCGUAACUGACGCUGCGGAGCGAAAGCGUGGGGAUCAAACAGG